ensembl:lncRNA
CUCCAGGUACCUCACGGGAAGUAAAAAGCAAAGCUAUCUAUUCAUUGCAGCUCUUUUACAUUUAAAUAAUACUCAAGCAACCACAAUAGCGACUGAAAAUUUUUAAAAGCAUAUUUAUUUUUACCAUAAAUUUCCCAUUAUCGGUUCAUAUUUCAUGAAAGCUAAGAAAUACCAUACUAUUUUAGGAUAUUUGUGUUUCAUUUCAUCUCGGAGAUAUCAAUAAUUUGCUGCAUGGUAUGACAGUUUCUGUGUCAUACCUUAUUUCAGUUACUGCACCAUUUUUAUUUGCAUUAAUAGUGGAAAAGUUUGUUACACUGAAUUUUUAAGACCACAGCCAUAAUCUUCUCAAAAUAAUUGGUUACUUUGAGUAUUAAUUUAGAGACAUUAAAGAGUUUUAGUUCCAAGAGGAGAUGUUGAGCCACUUCUGAUAAACAAGACCUAUUCUAUUCUUUACAUUAAAGGGGCUGGAAGGAACUACCAGACUAUCUAGACUGUAUUCAUAUUCAUAAUAAACUAUCUAGACUAUUCAAAAUAGACUUUAUCAUUCAGAUCAUUUGGUAUAAGCCUCUUUUACUAUGCAUAAUGACAAUUUUUUUGAUAAACGCUGUUAUCCAAGCAGGAAUACAGAGCUGACGUCAAGGGGCAGGAAAUGUACUACCUCUCUUCAACCUUGGAUUACAACUGUUUAAUCUUUGCUGUUAAAUAUAUAUUAAUCAUUGACCAUGGUUGGAAGGCUAUACUUCAAUUUCCAGCCACUGUUUUCUUGUUGUAUUCCUUGGUUACUUUGAAAAAUCUUCUUUACCUUGUGUUUUUCCCUUCUGGAAGCAUUUAUAAUUUGGUCAAAUUUCAAUCUUCCUUUUGAUAAAAAUGCUGAGCUUUCCCCGUCGUUUCACCGUAAGGCAUUUUCUUCAGCUUAUGGGUAUUCCUGUAUCUUUCCUGCACAGUUCUUAUUUUUCAAUAUUCUUUUAAACACACCAACACCAAAAUUAGAGGCUGUACACUGGUCCUGGUCUCAAAAGUGCCAAACAAAGUGCAAAUCCCCCUUUCCCAUUUACUUUUUGCCUCCUGAAACACCCAAGAAUCUCAUUAGCCCAUUUUGCUACAGAUUUAUAUUGGGAGUUCAAGUUGAGAAGUUGAGCUGUUUCUCCAUUUUGAUCCCUCAACUCUCUCAGAAGCACUGCUUUCCAAGAUAAAAUCCUCCCACUCUGUAGAAACAUCUUGCGCUCUUUGUUCUGAAGUCAAUCACUUAAAAUGUAGGUGUGUGAAGAAAGAUUUCAUUUAAAUGGACAAGUUAUCCAGGCCGCUUUGUGCUUAGCAGAGCUCACUGAUACCACCAUUCUAACUGGGUUCUAUGACACCUGGAUAUUGCAUCAGCAACAUUUAUAUUUACUUCUACAAGACUGUGGGAGAUGUUGAACAGAAACAGCCUACUGUCAGUCCCUGGGGAACAACACCUCCAUUUGAUGAUGACUUGCUGUUGUCAAGUAGUUUGAGAGAUGUUUGUUAGCCAUUUAACAGGUUGUGUUGACAGUGUAGAAUGCCAUUUUUUGUGAACAGGACACUGCAUGAGCAUAAGAUCCCUAAAAUAGCCUGUCUACUACAGCUAUGCUGUCAUUUUAUCUCAUUACAUCAAAAUGAGAGGAAAGUUUGCUUUUAAUGGCAAAUUCAGCACUCACUAUACUGACUUUAAAGAUUUGACUCUUUUUUUUUUGGUGAAAUGACAAGUGAUUGCCUGUCAGUGUCCAAACUGAGGCACAUAAAGUGGACCGAUUUUCUAAGAGAGGGUAUCCAGCAGUUUCUGAAUACCAAGGACUACAAACCAAUGGAUUUCAAAGCAUACCUACAUUCACUGUUCAUUCACUGUUCAUUCACUGAAGAGACCACUGUAAGUAGUGUUCACAAUAAGACACGAAGCUAUUACUUCCUGGAAGGCCCAGUUUUGAGUUGAGUAGAGCUAGAGUGAGCAGAAAAGUAAAGAAACAUAAGUAAGAAUUUUACCUGAGUAUGUAAGUGGAUACUUGCUCCCUCUGGAUAUGUGUUAAACACAGGAAGAGUUAGGUGCUUCAAAUCCACAGCAAGAAAAGAACAGUAAGAGCAGCCAGAGCAAAAGGUAUGAGAAGAACUGGAGAAUCAAGUCAAGGGAGAGUCAUGAGGAAUGCAUUUACACUUGAUCCUUGAAUUACAGACACCAGUUUAUUAUGCUGUUGAUAGAACUGAACAUUUUUCUGAUAAAGAGGUUAUGUUCUGGUAAAAGAUUUGGCACAAUAAUAGUAGUGAUAUAUCAUUCUAAUCUGAAGAAAAAAAAAAAGAAUGAACCUGCACAGCUGCAUGUUUUGUUAUUGCUGAAAGAAUCUAUGGUUGAAUGACUACCACUGAAAUCUGUUAACAAGAGAAUUCAGUAAAUAAGAUUUGCCAAGCAAGGCAGCAUGAGCUGCCUUGUAAACUGAGAAGAAAAAAAAAAAGAUCAAUUUAUGUGACAUCUUAAAGGUAUUUGGGAAGAUCAGAAAUAGUGCGUGAUUCUUACUAACCCGUUGCUCAAAAUGUACAAACCAGCUAUUGCUAGAUCAAGAGCCUGCAAAGGCAUACAGCUGAAGAGAUUUUGAAAUACACAUAAAACAUGAAGGCAUUUUCAAGUUGCUUGUCAGCAGCAGCUUUUAAUCAUGCCAAAUGCAAAGUGCGUCUGAAUUUACAAUUUCAGAAGUCAAGACAAAAGAUUUAAGUCAGCACAAAGCAAAAAUUAAACAAACAAACAAACAAACAGGAAAUACUCCCACAUGUCAGCCUUCUUCUAUAUGCUGCAAUAGGUUUAGGGCCAGUUUUUGUCCUGUGUCUUCUGCAGUACAAUACAAACUCUUUCCAUUGAAUACCACUGCUGUGAGCUGUUAGCUUACCCAUGUAGGACAAAUGCUACUACGUAUAAAGAGAUCAGGGUCUCUUAUUUCAGGGCUGGCUGUGCAGCUGGUCACAAUAGUCUCUCUCACCUCCAAGAAGGCGACAAAGUGGACUUUUAAAAGUAUUGUACUCCAGUAGGGUGUUUACUUUCCACUCUAGAGAAAAGCAUACUUCUGCCCCUCUCCCUGUACUGCAUUGCAGAGCUCAGCUAGGGUUAGGGUUAAUGAGAAGAUGGGUGUUGAGAACACCUUUGGGAGCACUGGAGAAAGAUGCCCCUAUCAGGCAAAUGGUUGAAAGCUAGCACAAAGAAGGUUGCUGGAUUGACAUAUUUAGCUCAAGUUUAUUAAACUUACUAAGCCUUCAUUCACCCUGGUAAAAAUAAGCCUUUAGGGUCUGCCCUCCCUUCUGCAUUCUGUUCAGUAUCCUCUGUGUACUCAGAAAUGAUCUGUCUCUGAUCUCUGACAGAAGCAGUCCCAACCUGUUUCCAAAAUAUGCUGGCUAGCGCUGUCAUGUAGGAGAUGCAGCACAUGCUAUUUUUCAGCUGCUACCUGUAUUCUCCUAGUUUUUCCACCACCUCAAAGCAGAUGAAGCAACAGAUUGGCACACAAAGCUGGUAAGCAGUGUUAAGAAGAGGGCACCUACUGGCAAGGAGGAAAGGAGAUAACAGGAGUCCUCAUUUAAUUUUCUUGGCAGUUGUCAGGGUAGUGUUGUCCCCAGCCCUUUUUCAAUACAAAAAGAUUUGUGAAGUUUUAUAUUUUCUUUCAUGUCAAGAUGAUGCUCACUGCUGAAUGACACAUGAAAAUUAGUACAAACGAAUAAAACUCAUCAGAGAGGUGUGAACUGAUCCUAACUGUUCACUCUGCUGGAGUGUAACACAUUCUGGGACAGCUGUUCCCCUUACAAGGAUUUAAAAGCAAUUUGAAGUCAAGGCAAGUUCCUUGGAACAGGAAGGAAAAGAGAAGACAUCAACUUGAACUGCAAAGCUCACUGCCAUUCUUUGAGAUACACCAAACCUCAAGCUGCCUUCCUAGACACAUUUUAGGGUGUUUUGAAAAUAUAAAAUUAGAGUAGUUCUUUAGAGUGCCACUAAUUAGGAGCCUCUUAUUCAAACAAUGCCAGUUCUGCCUACAAACAUCAAAGACUGGCUCCUGAGGAUGUCCCCAGAGGAGGAAUCUCCUUUCACUCUAAUGAUGUCUGGGAGAAUGGGAUGCUCUAGCAAGCCUGAGUAGUCCUUGACUACAUGGUGAAAGACAGUGCUGCUGAUAAAUCCUGGAUUAACAGACAGCCUUGUCUGGCUGGGAGAAAACCUCAGAGAUAACAAUCCAUUCAGUCCUGAAGACUCCAGUAAAUGGAAUAUUACAUGCUCACAGAACAUAGACACCAAGUGGAUAGUUGGACCAAGUGUCAACAGUUCCUGGUUUCCUCAAAGUUCAGGCAUAUCUCAACCUGAUCACAAACAGGAGAGCUCACUGUUAGAGGGCUUUGAGCAGCUAGACUUGUAAAUGAGCCAGUUUGGCAUUUCUAGCUAAAGCUCCUUUUAGAAUGACCAAGAGAAGCACCUGUCCAUAACAUACAGGUGUCAGCCCUCCUGCUGCACAUGAUUCUUUGCGACAGCAAUGUAUGUGGCUACAUGGCACCAUGGCAGUACUUUGUAGGGACAGGUAUGGUUGAGAUAUGCCAGUAGGCUAAGAUGAAAGCUAUUGAUUGAUAAAAGGAAAGCUAAGAUUGAUAAAAGGAAAUAGAAUAAUAAAAAAUGUGAUGACAACUAUACAUAUGUAAUUUCCACAGUGCAAUUACUCACUGACCAAUGCCCAACUAAUAAUUUAACAGCCCACAAACAACAUAAGACCAUUCCAUCCCAUUGAUCUUGCAGCAGUCAGCCCUAAGCCAGCUAUCUACAGUCACAUAGGUAUGGAAUAACCCUCAGCCUAAUUUAGGUCACCUGUCUGGGCUCUGUCCACCUCCUGCUGACACGCAUAAAGGGCCCCAGGAAGCUCCCAUUGCUCAGCAGCAACCACAGCAUUGAUGUGAUGUUGGCACUGUGCUUUGGCUGAAACCAGGGCUCCUGGCCACCAGAAGAAAGCUGCAGCGUUCCCAGUGCCUGCUGAAGGAGCAGCCUUCUGCAGUGUAGGGUGUGCUCAUGGCCUGUCUUCAGGACUUAGUGUGGUUAUGGAGAUAUCUCUCAUGCUGGGCAGUGCUAAAUAGCCGUGAACUUCAUUUUGUUCAUCAGUGCUCCAUACUGGCUUUUCCCACAGAGAGAAAGCAAGCCACAAGACACUGCUGAACAGUGUCCUAUACUCUGUUGGUAGAGGUGUCUUUCACCUGCUGUAGAGCAGAGGUAUCACCCCUAAACACAGAUCACUCACUGUACGGGUUUGCCAAGUUCAUAAUGUCCAAUUUGUGAACCAGGUGCAACUGGAAAAAUGCUUCUACAGGGAGCAGUGGCUUCAUUUGGAAAUGCAUCCAAUUAAAAAUGGCUUUGAGGUCAUAGCUUGAAUGAAAAAAAGCACCACAGAGAUUGCUACAUUUUCUUCUUGUUACUUGCUGAAGCCACAUCGUCAUCAAGAUACAUUCAUUAUCUCCUUGCUGAGACAAACUUGAUUUUUGACUAUUUUUCUCACCAAGUCUCUUUGAAGUACAUUUCAGGGCAGCUGAAAUAAUGGCGAGUGUCCAGUAAAAGCAAUUUCCAAACAGCAGAGUGGUCCUGAGCUUGGACCUUUGGGCCAUUGAUUCAUUUUGUGCACAAACCCAGGGCUGACAGAAAUUUCUGUGCUCAGCUGUGGGCCCCUCACUACAAGAGGGACAUCGAGGCCAUGGAGCGUGUCCAGAGAAGUGCAACAAAGCUGUGAAGGAUAUGGAACACACGUCUGAUGGGGAGCGGCUGAGGGAACUGCGAUGGUCUGGAGAAGAGGAGGCUCAGGAAAGACCUUAUUGUUCUCUACACUGCCAGAAAGGAGGUUGUGACGAGGUGGGAGUUGGUCUCUGCUCCCAGAUGUGGUGAUCGUGGACCUCGAGGCAGCCAGAUGACCGGAGGCGUUUUCUGACACUGCGCUUCCUACGUUAUGUGACUAUGAACGUAUGGCGUAUCUACGCAUACGAGCGAUGCGGGGAUCUCUUUAUGGUCGUCCGUGGCCCACAAAAAAAAGCACAACGGCAAUGAGCGGUGAAAUACCGCAGGGACGGCGGAACCCCCUCGGCGGGGCCGGAGCCUGAGAGGAGCGCCGCAUCCCGCCGCCCGCCCGCUCCUCCCGGCAGUGCGGGGUGGGGGGGCGCGCUGCGGGCCGCAGUCCCCGGCGGGAGGUUGUCAUGGUUUCCCGGGUCACAUGUGUGCGAGGUUCCCCCGGCGCGGGGGGAGGAGGCGGCGGGGGCGGGGAGGUUUCAGUCACGGAC